GUUGGCACUUUUAAACCUUAAUCCCUUGGUAGUCUAUUGCUUCCUUUUGGUCUCUAUUUGGUAAAUAACCAGUUUAAUUAUGUCAACACGCAAAAUAAUUGUAAAAGCCAAGGGUGCUGGUCUUAGCGAGUUUGAGCGUUUUGUAGAGCAAGCUUUACAUGACCUACAAAAUAAUACUGACGAAGAAUUCAGUCGUUCUUUGCAGACGCUCUAUUUAUGUUCUGCCAAAGAAGUUCCUGUGGGACAGGGCCGUAAAGCCGUUGUGUUAUUUGUUCCAGUUCCACUUCUCUCCCGGUUCCACACCAUUCAGAAACGCUUAGUGAGAGAGCUUGAGAAAAAAUUAAGUGGAAAACACGUCCUUGUAAUCGCACAACGACGUGUUCUAAAACCAGAAAAAAGAGGACAUCGCGCUUAUAGGCAACCUCGUCCGCGUUCACGCACUUUUACUGCUUUCUGCGACGCAUUUCUCGAAGAUCUCGUGUUUCCCACAGAGAUCCUCGGAAAGAGAACUCGCUAUCGGCUGGAUGGCUCUCGCGUUACUAAAGUGAUCUUUGAUUCUAAGGAUGAGAAAAACAUUGAACACAAGCUCGACACUUUCUCUUCCGUAUAUAAAAAGUUGACUGGACUGUCUGUUAUUUUUGAAUUUUCAGUUUCUGUCUGACUAUUGA